ACCUGAGUGUCCCGCGGAAGAUGGAGAGGGAAAGUGGGAAAUACGUCCGUGUCUAUCUCGGUGCGCAGGACGGAGGAGGAGACUAACGAUUGUGGUCCCGCGAAAAGCGCUGGAAGGGGCGCACCACAGAUUGGAUACCACAUGCAUGGUGAGAGCUCUUGAUACAGCAGACUUCGAAAUCUCCAGAUACCCUCCUCAACCUUUUUGUUUAAAAGACACUAUUGAGUCUGUUAGAAAAUUUUUGAAUCUAAUAAAUACAGUCAAGUUGCCAUAUAUAAAAUACAUGUUAAAAAAAAUUAAAAAGAGCCUCCAUUGUACUCCCAAAAAAAGAAAUUAGGGGCAAUAUUUCAUUUAAAAUAAUCAGCCCUCCAAUUAUGUAUUUAGGAAUAUAUUUAACCAAAAACAUAAUGGACCUCUACAAAAAAUAUGUUCAAGAUAUUUAAAAAUGAAAUUACAGAAGAUACUAGAUUAUGAAAAGACAUCUCAUGCUCCUGGAUUGGCAGUUAUUAUUGUGAGGAUGGCUAUACUACCAAUAUUCAUUUACAGAUUUAAUGCAAUACAUUUCAAAUUCCAUUUUGAUAUCAUAUUUCACAGGUUUAGCGAAAAAAUAUAAGAAUUUGCACAUGCACACACAUACACAUGGAGAGAGAGAGAGAGAGAGAGAGAGAGAGAGAGAGAGAGAUCCAAAACAGCCAAAGCAGUUCUGGGUGAUCCUGGCAUAUGAUCAGACGGAAAGACCAAUGGGUAGAACACAGGUCCUGGAAAUCAGACAACAAAGCUGUGCCCACUUAAUUAUUUACAAGGAAUCAAAAACAUACACUAGAAAAAAAGGUAGCCUAUUCAACAGAUGGUUCUGUCAAAAUUUGAUAUCUACCUGCAGAAGAAUGAAAUUAGAUUCAUAUUGUUACCUUAUACAAAAAUCAACUUAAAAAUGGAUCAAAUACCUUAAUUUAAAGCCUGAAACACUGAAAGCUCUAGAAGAAAACACAGAGGAAGAUACUGGGGAAUAUAGAACCUUUUUUCAAUGGAGGACCAACAGCACAGGAACUAGCCCCAAGCAUCAGCACAUGGGUCGACAGGAAAGUCAAGUCUCUGCUCAGCAAAGGAAACAGUCAGCAGCGCACAGAGGGCCACAGCUCAGGGAAAACAUCUGGACCAGCUGCUCAAAGGAAACAGUCAGCAGCGCACAGACGGCCACAGGGCGGGAGAACAUCUGGACCAGCUGCGCCUCACCCAGAAUUUACAGAGAACAGCAGAAAUUAAGUACCAAGGAAAUAAAACUGCCAAUCAAUAAACAGGCAAGUGAAUUGAAUAAACAACCUUUCACAAAAAGAAACACAGAUUGCCAGUAUGUGUAUUUUGUUUAAAUGUUCUAUAUUUCUAGCCAUCAGGGAAAUACAAACUAAAACUACUUUGAGAUACCACAUCGCCCCAAUCAGAAUGUCUCUCAUCAAUAAACCUGAUAACAAAUGUUGGAGAA